GUCAACUCCGGUCGGCUUGGUCCCCGGCCCUGCUCCCUCCUAAUGCUCAGGCUUCUCCCCCUCCUGGGCCUCUUCUCGGGAUGGGUGGCGGUACGGUGCCCCUGGGUUCCCCGGCACCCGCGGUGGCCAGUGUUGGCGCCGCCUCGGUUGAUGCUGGUCUCGAAGGGGGGGUCCCGGACGUAGCGCGGGGUGCUGCUUACAUGUGCUGGUCUGGCCCUCUGGGCUUGCAC